CAGGAUAAUUGCUUGAACCUGGCAGCAGCAGAGGUUGCAGUGAGUCAAGAUUGCACCACUGUACUCCAGCCUGGGAGACAGAGCAAGACUCUGUCUCAAAGAAAUUCUUGUUGUGAAAAUUCAGGUGGUACAGCAGUGUUAAAAAUAAAAGUUCCCUUACAUUCCCUUGCCACAGUCACACCCCUCAGAUGUGAGGUAAUCUAUGCUUGAUGUAUACUUCCUGAUCGUUUUCUGUGAUACACACACACACACACACACACACACAUUUUGUCCUUCUUUUAAAGUACAAAAAUGGAAAAAAAAAUACAAAAAUGGGAUCAUAUUCCUAUGAAGCCUUCUGAUGAUUUGGUCUGCCUGUAGUGAGAUCAUACACUGUUCAUAAAAGCACAAACUUCCAGAGUUCCAGACUCCAUGACAGCUAUUUCUCACUGUAAAUUACUUGACUGGUUGUGGCCUCGGUCACAUGGCCUCAGCCUUGGCCAUGCCCUGCAUGUGGUAUGGUCAGGGCUCCGAGCCGUCAGGGCUGAGGUGAAUCAAUACCGUCUGCAAGGCUUCUUGGGCAGCAGCCUGCCAGCCUUUCCGCUGGUGUCCAUAUGUGCCUCUCUUUACACUUCCCCUCAGUAGUGGCUGUGAGUGGGGGUCCUGCUGGUAUUUCUUACUCGCAUUUCUGUCCCCCCACCAGGGAAGAAGGGCUAGUUGUUGUGUGACCUUUGGUUGGCCUGGUGUUUCCUGGUUCCUGCUGAUCCAUGGGGAAGAGUCCUCUGCCUUAUCAAAAUAUUUAUAUUCCUUCAGCAUAAGAGUGAAAUUACCUUCUUAGUACUUUGAGCUUUUCCUUUCCACUUUCUUAGACUGGCUUUUUAGGUGCCCAGCAAUGAAUAUGAAAAACUGACGGCAGUGUUUGCAUUCAGGCAGUGGUUGCAGGAAUCCAGCAGGCUCACGCAGAACAGUUGGCCAACAUGAGAAUCCAGGAUCUGAAAGUCAGCCUCAAACCCCUGCACUCAGUGAACAACCCCAUUCUGCGGAAGAGGAAGUUACUUGGCACCAAGCCAAAGGACAGUGUCUAUAUCCACGACCAUGAGAAUGGAGCCGAAGAUUCCAAUGUUGCCUUGGAAAAACUCCGAGAUGUGAUUGCUCAGUGUAUUCUCCCCCAGGCUGGUAAAGGAGAGAAUGAAGAUGAGAAACUGAAUGAAGUAAUGCAGGAGGCUUGGAAGUAUAACCGGGAAUGCAAACUCCUAAGAGAUACUCUGCAGAGCUUCAGCUGGAAUGGUCGUGGAUUCACAGAUAAAGUAGAUCGACUAAAACUGGCAGAAAUUGUGAAGCAGGUGAUAGAAGAGCAAACCAUGUCCCAUGAAUCCCAAUAAUGACAGCUUCAAACUUUGUUUUUUUUAACAAUUUGAAAAAUUAUUCUUUAAUGUAUAAAGUAAUUUUAUGUAAAUUAAUAAAUCAUAAUUUCAUUUC
rnacentral:sRNA from 1 species